AUACGAAGGGGGCGUAGCGUUGCUCGGAAUUACUGGGCGUAAAGGGCGCGUAGGCGGACAUUUAAGUCAGGGGUGAAAUCCCAGAGCUCAACUCUGGAACUGCCUUUGAUACUGGGUGUCUUGAGUGUGAGAGAGGUAUGUGGAACUCCGAGUGUAGAGGUGAAAUUCGUAGAUAUUCGGAAGAACACCAGUGGCGAAGGCGACAUACUGGCUCAUUACUGACGCUGAGGCGCGAAAGCGUGGGGAGC
rnacentral:rRNA from 1 species